UGGACCAGUGAUGACGAAUGCACGUGAGUCGUGGACGAUGAGUACUUCAUGUCGGGAACUCUGAGGUCCAG